rnacentral:rRNA from 1 species
UACGUAGGGUGCAAGCGUUGUCCGGAAUUAUUGGGCGUAAAGAGCUCGUAGGCGGUUUGUCGCGUCUGCUGUGAAAACUCGGGGCUUAACUCCGGGCCUGCAGUGGGUACGGGCAGACUAGAGUGCGGUAGGGGAGACUGGAAUUCCUGGUGUAGCGGUGAAAUGCGCAGAUAUCAGGAGGAACACCAGUGGCGAAGGCGGCUCACUGGCCCGGUACUGACGCUGAGGCGCGAAAGCGUGGGGAGCAAACAGG